AGAGUUUGAUCCUGGCUCAGGAUGAACGCCGGCUGUGUGCCUAAUACAUGCAAGUCGUACGCACUGGCCCAACUGAUUGAUGGUGCUUGCACCUGAUUGACGAUGGAUCACCAGUGAGUGGCGGACGGGUGAGUAACACGUAGGUAACCUGCCUCGGAGCGGGGGAUAACAUUUGGAAACAGAUGCUAAUACCGCAUAACAACAAAAGCCACAUGGCUUUUGUUUGAAAGAUGGCUUUGGCUAUCACUCUGGGAUGGACCUGCGGUGCAUUAGCUAGUUGGUAAGGUAACGGCUUACCAAGGCAAUGAUGCAUAGCCGAGUUGAGAGACUGAUCGGCCACAAUGGAACUGAGACACGGUCCAUACUCCUACGGGAGGCAGCAGUAGGGAAUCUUCCACAAUGGGCGCAAGCCUGAUGGAGCAACACCGCGUGAGUGAAGAAGGGUUUCGGCUCGUAAAGCUCUGUUGUUGGAGAAGAACGUGCGUGAGAGUAACUGUUCACGCAGUGACGGUAUCCAACCAGAAAGUCACGGCUAACUACGUGCCAGCAGCCGCGGUAAUACGUAGGUGGCAAGCGUUAUCCGGAUUUAUUGGGCGUAAAGCGAGCGCAGGCGGUUGCUUAGGUCUGAUGUGAAAGCCUUCGGCUUAACCGAAGAAGUGCAUCGGAAACCGGGCGACUUGAGUGCAGAAGAGGACAGUGGAACUCCAUGUGUAGCGGUGGAAUGCGUAGAUAUAUGGAAGAACAGCAGUGGCGAAGGCGGCUGUCUGGUCUGCAACUGACGCUGAGGCUCGAAAGCAUGGGUAGCGAACAGGAUUAGAUACCCUGGUAGUCCAUGCCGUAAACGAUGAGUGCUAGGUGUUGGAGGGUUUCCGCCCCUUCAUUGCCGGAACUAAC
rnacentral:rRNA from 1 species